UGGGGAAUAUUGCACAAUGGGCGCAAGCCUGAUGCAGCCAUGCCGCGUGUGUGAAGAAGGCCUUCGGGUUGUAAAGCACUUUCAGCGAGGAGGAAGGUGGUGAGCUUAAUACGCUCAUCAAUUGACGUUACUCGCAGAAGAAGCACCGGCUAACUCCGUGCCAGCAGCCGCGGUAAUACGGAGGGUGCAAGCGUUAAUCGGAAUUACUGGGCGUAAAGCGCACGCAGGCGGUUUGUUAAGUCAGAUGUGAAAUCCCCGGGCUCAACCUGGGAACUGCAUUUGAAACUGGCAAGCUAGAGUCUCGUAGAGGGGGGUAGAAUUCCAGGUGUAGCGGUGAAAUGCGUAGAGAUCUGGAGGAAUACCGGUGGCGAAGGCGGCCCCCUGGACGAAGACUGACGCUCAGGUGCGAAAGCGUGGGGCAGCAAACAGGAUUAGAUACCCUGGUAGUCCACGCUGUAAACGAUGUCGAUUUGGAGGUUGUGCCCUUGAGGCGUGGCUUCCGGAGCUAACGCGUUAAAUCGACCGCCUGGGGAGUACGGCCGCAAGGUUAAAACUUAAAGGAAUUGACGGGGUCUAGCUG
rnacentral:rRNA from 1 species